GACGAACGCUGGCGGCGUGCUUAACACAUGCAAGUCGAACGGUGACGGAGAGCUUGCUCUCCUGAUCAGUGGCGAACGGGUGAGUAAACCGUGGGCAACCUGCCCCAGACUUCGGGAUAACGUUUCGAAAGAGGUGCUAAUCCCGGAUACGAACUCGUUGGGCAUCCUUGGAGUUGGAAAGUUUUGCGGUCUGGGGUGGGCCCGCGGCCAAUCAGCGAGUUGGUGAGGUAACGGCUCACGAAGGCGACGACGGGUAGCCGGCCUGGAGAGGGCGACAGGCCACACUGGGACUGAGACACGGCCCAGACGCCUACGGGAGGCAGCAGUGGGGAAUAUUGCGCAAUGGGCGAAAGCCUGACGCAGCAACGCCGCGUGAGGGAUGACGGCCUUCGGGUUGUAAACCUCUUUUAGCAGGGAAGAAGCGAAAGUGACGGUACCUGCAGAAAAAGCACCGGCUAACUACGUGCCAGCAGCCGCCGUAAUAC
rnacentral:rRNA from 1 species